rnacentral:rRNA from 1 species
UACGGAGGGUGCAAGCGUUAUCCGGAUUCACUGGGUUUAAAGGGCGCGUAGGCGGCUCGGUAAGUAGGGGGUGAAAUCCUGCGGCUUAACCGCAGGGCUGCCUUCUAAACUGUCGAGCUCGAGCACGGUAGAGGCAGAUGGAAUUCCCGGUGUAGCGGUGGAAUGCGUAGAGAUCGGGAAGAACAUCAGUGGCGAAGGCGGUCUGCUGGGCCGUUGCUGACGCUGAGGCGCGACAGCGUGGGGAGCAAACAGG